UGAAYGACUCUCGGCAACGGAUAUCUCGGCUCUUGCAUCGAUGAAGAACGUAGCGAAAUGCGAUACUUGGUGUGAAUUGCAGAAUCCCGUGAACCAUCGAGUCUUUGAACGCAAGUUGCGCCYGAGGCCUUCUGGUCGAGGGCACGUCURCCUGGGCGUCRCGC
rnacentral:rRNA from 1 species